AUCCCCCGUGGCCGGGGUUACGGCCACACCUCCCUGUUGGACUGGCCCGGGUUUGCGCCCGGGCCUUUUU
rnacentral:ncRNA from 1 species